UGGGUACGGGCAGACUAGAGUGCGGUAGGGGAGAAUGGAAUUCCUGGUGUAGCGGUGGAAUGCGCAGAUAUCAGGAGGAACACCGAUGGCGAAGGCAGUUCUCUGGGCCGUAACUGACGCUGAGGAGCGAAAGGUGGGGAGCGAACAGGAUUAGAUACCCUGGUAGUCCACGCCGUAAACGUUGGGCGCUAGAUGUGGGGCCGUGUCGCAGCUAACGAUUAAGCGCCCCGCCUGGGGAGUACGGCCGCAAGGCUAAAACUCAAAGGAAUUGACGGGGGCCCGCACAAGCGGCGGAGCAUGCGGAUUAAUUCGAUGCAACGCGAAGAACCUUACCAAGGCUUGACAUACAGGUGGUGCAUGGUUGUCGUCAGCUCGUGUCGUGAGAUGUUGGGUUAAGUCCCGCAACGAGCGCAACCCUCGUUCUAUGUUGCAACUCAUAGGAGACUGCCGGGGUCAACUCGGAGGAAGGUGGGGAUGACGUCAAAUCAUCAUGCCCCUUAUGUCUUGGGCUUCACGCAUGCUACAAUGGCCGGUACAAAGGGCUGCAAUACCGUAAGGUGGAGCGAAUCCCAAAAAGCCGGUCUCAGUUCGGAUUGAGGUCUGCAACUCGACCUCAUGAAGUCGGAGUCGCUAGUAAUCGCAGAUCAGCACGCUGCGGUGAAUACGUUCCCGGGCCUGCACACACCGCCCGUC
rnacentral:rRNA from 1 species